rnacentral:rRNA from 1 species
UACGUAGGGUGCAAGCGUUGUCCGGAAUUAUUGGGCGUAAAGAGCUCGUAGGCGGUCUGUCGCGUCGGCUGUGAAAACCCGGGGCUCAACCCCGGGCCUGCAGUCGAUACGGGCAGACUAGAGUGCGGUAGGGGAGACUGGAAUUCCUGGUGUAGCGGUGAAAUGCGCAGAUAUCAGGAGGAACACCGAUGGCGAAGGCGGGUCGCUGGGCCGUUACUGACGCUGAGGAGCGAAAGCGUGGGGAGCGAACAGG